rnacentral:rRNA from 1 species
GCAAGUCGAGCGCAGUCCUUCGGGACCGAGCGGCGGACGGGUUAGUAACGCGUGGGAACGUACCCUUCUCUACGGAAUAGCCUCGGGAAACUGAGAGUAAUACCGUAUACGCCCUUCGGGGGAAAGAUUUAUCGGAGAAGGAUCGGCCCGCGUUAGAUUAGAUAGUUGGUGGGGUAAUGGCCUACCAAGUCUACGAUCUAUAGCUGGUUUGAGAAGAUGAUC